UAAUAUUCUCCAUUUUGUCUUUCAUUCUGCCUUUGCCUUCAGACCUAGUCACAUCUCCUUAACCCCACUGCCACUAACCUUCCUUCUUAACCUCUUGGUUACACCUGUAUUCUUCCUGGGAACUGGGAACUCUUACCACCCCUGACUGUGGGAAUGCAGAAUGCAGAAGAGUUGUGGGGUGCAGAACGCAGAAGAGUUGUGGCAAAGGAUGUGAGGAGAGUAACAACAGGCAGAUCCUUAUAAUAACAAACCUUCAUUUGCACCAGCUGCUCUACCUUUAUCUCAUAAGGGAUAGAUAACGGACACCUCGUUAAUGAGGAAAACAAGGAAUGGGUUAUGCAGAUGUGGUGGGUUGUCCUUGACUAAUUAUGCUAAUCUGUAGGCAUAUGCUCUACUGGCUGAGUGCUUAUAUACUUGGGCUGUAUGUAAUAAAGUGUCUCUGGCAUAAUUCAAA